rnacentral:pre_miRNA from 14 species
UUUUAUUUUGCUAUUUCGUUAAGCUAUCUUGAAAGACCCCCGGAGCAGGGAGACCCUCACUCAAGUCUUGGGAUGAUGCGACCCCCCAAGAACUCACGUGAGACC